rnacentral:rRNA from 1 species
AUGCAGAUGGGAAGGUUUAGCCGAAGGGGAUUCUCCAUGCGAGGUGGAUGUCUGGCCCGAAAUGCAGAGCCUGACGGGAGACGUCAUCUCCCGCGCCGCGUUCGGCAGCAGCUACCUCGAAGGAAGGAGAAUCUUCCAGCUCCAGGGGGAGCAGAUCGAGCUCGCCAUGCAGGCCAUGAGCAAGAUGCACAUCCCUGGUUACCUGUUCUUGCCUACAAAAGCCAACCGAAGGAUGAGGCAGAUCGCCGCGGAGAUCGGGAGGAUCCUGAAAGGCGUCAUCGCCAAGAGGGAGAAUGCCCUGAGAGCCGGUAA